rnacentral:rRNA from 1 species
GACGAACGCUGGCGGCGUGCUUAACACAUGCAAGUCGAACGAUGAAGCCUAGCUUGCUAGGUGGAUUAGUGGCGAACGGGUGAGUAAUACGUGAGUAACCUACCUUUAACUCUGGGAUAAGCCCGGGAAACUGGGUCUAAUACCGGAUACGACCAAUCUCCGCAUGGGGUGUUGGUGGAAAGCGUUAUGUAGUGGUUAUAGAUGGCUCACGGCCUAUCAGCUUGUUGGUGAGGUAACGGCUCACCAAGGCGACGACGGGUAGCCGGCCUGAGAGGGUGACCGGCCACACUGGGACUGAGACACGGCCCAGACUCCUACGGGAGGCAGCAGUGGGGAAUAUUGCACAAUGGGCGCAAGCCUGAUGCAGCGACGCCGCGUGAGGGAUGACGGCCUUCGGGUUGUAAACCUCUGUUAGCAGGGAAGAAGAGAGAUUGACGGUACCUGCAGAGAAAGCGCCGGCUAACUACGUG